rnacentral:tRNA from 1 species
GUCAGGAUGGCCGAGUGGUCUAAGGCGCUGCGUUCAGGUCGCAGUCUUCUUCUGAAGGCGUGGGUCGAAUCCCACUUCUGACA